GCUCAGGCCUCCUCCCCUGAGACUAGUAAAGGCACAUUCAGGAUGCAGGCUCUUGAGCCCAGCUGUCAGAGCUGUCAGCCUGCCUAAGCAGGAAAAAAACGGUGUGAGUCGAGUCGACCUGGUAUUGGAAAAAAGGCUACCUGUGAAAACCUACUCUGUAACCCUGAAAGUCUCAGCCCAGGGCCCUUAGGGCUGUCUCGAUGGUCGAGUCCCUCUGGAGGAGGAGGAGUUUUGAGACUGUGAGGUGGUUGCAGGAAACUCCUCUUUGGACUCCCUUCCUGAAAGAGGCUGUGAAGAGGAAUCAGGUCCCAUCAGGAUUGGAAUAUUUUCCUGUGAAAUUGUGGAACCCCAUCCACCCAUCACCAGAUAGAAUCUUGACACCUAUCUGAUUUUAUUGCUGCUCACACUCUGUGUCUGAGCAUGAAAUCUUAAGAUGAUUGAGACAUGAACCCUCAUGAUGUGAAGCACCUGCUUGGCUGGAAACCAAAUUCGAGGUGAAGUUGUGGACCCUAUCCACUUCUCACCAGACUGUAUCUUCACCAUUAUCUGACCUUAUUGCUGGUAACACUGUAUAUCCCAGGAUGAAAUCCCAAUAUGGUGGAGGAGUUUCCCCUCACAACGUGAAGCACCUGCUCGGAUGGAAACCGAAUUCGAGGUGGAGUUGUUGGACCCCAUCCAUUUCCCACCUGAUUUUAUCCUCACCCCUAUGUGACCUUUUUGCUACACACACUUGAUGUUUCAGGAUGAAAUCUCAAGAUGAUAGAAGAGUGACUACUCAUGACAUGAACCACCUGCUUUGCUGGAAACUGAAUUCAAGAUGAAAGUGCCAGGCUCCAUCCAAGCCUCACCAGGUUGUAUCCUCAGCCCAAUGUGACCUUAUUGCUGCUCAGACUCUCUGUUCCAGAAUGAAAAUCCAAGGUGAUGGAGGAGUGUCUCAUCAUGAUGUGAAGCACCUGCUCACCUGGGAACUAAAUUGAAAGUAAAUACAAGUGGUCCUGUGGACAGGACUGCUAGUGUUUCUCCCUGUGUUUGCCAGAGGGCAAUAAAACACUCAGAGACAUCUGC